CCUACGGGAGGCAGCAGCAAGGAAUCUUGCGCAAUGGGGGAAACCCUGACGCAGCAACGCCGCGUGAGUGAAGAAGGCUUUCGGGUUGUAAAGCUCUUUUAUUGGGGACGAGACAGGACGGUACCCAAUGAAUAAGCCUCGGCUAACUACGUGCCAGCAGCCGCGGUAAAACGUGGGAGGCGAGCGUUAUCCGGAAUUAUUGGGCGUAAAGGGCCCGCAGGCGGCACAUUAAGUCAGGUGUGAAAUCUCCCGGCUCAACUGGGAGGGGACACUUGAAACUGAUGAGCUUGAGGACAGCAGGGGGAAGCGGAACUCCCGGUGUAGCGGUGAUAUGCGUAGAUAUCGGGAGGAACACCAGUGGCGAAGGCGGCUUCCUGGGCUGUUUCUGACGCUGAGGGGCGAAAGCGUGGGGAGCAAACCGGAUUAGAUACCCGGGUAGUCCACGCCGUAAACGAUGGAUACUAGGUAUGGGGGGUAUCGACCCCUCCCGUGCCGAAGCUAACGCCAUAAGUAUCCCGCCUGGGGACUACGGCCGCAAGGCUAAAACUCAAAGGAAUUGACGG
rnacentral:rRNA from 1 species